rnacentral:rRNA from 1 species
AGCGAAGCUUUUCAGUAGUUUACUACAGAAAAUGACUGAGCGGCGAACGGGUGAGUAACGCGUGAGCAAUCUACCUUAGUUACAGGGGAUAGCCCGAGGAAACUCGGAUUAAUACCUGAUAUUCUUUAUUUCUCGCAUGAGAAUAAAAGGAAAGGUCAGCCGAACUAAGAUGAGCUCGCGUUCUAUCAGCUAGUUGGUGAGGUAAAAGCUUACCAAGGCUACGACGGAUAGCUGGUCUGAGAGGACGAUCAGCCACACUGGACUGAGACACGGCCCAGACUCCUACGGGAGGCUGCAGCAGGGAAUAUUGUGCAAUGAACGAAAGUUUGACACAGCGACACCGCGUGUGGGAUGACGGAUCUAGGUUUGUAAACCACUUUCAGGAGGGAAGAAAAUGACGGUACCUCCACAAGAAGCCCCGGCCAACUACGUGCCAGCAGCCGCGGUAAUACGUAGGGGGCGAGCGUUGUCCGGAUUUAUUUGGGCGUAAAGAGCUCGUAGGCGGUUCAACAAGUCGGUCGUGAAAGUUCAGGGCUCAACCCUGGAAAUGUCGAUCGAUACUGUUGU